AGCCACAUUGGGACUGAGACACGGCCCAAACUCCUACGGGAGGCAGCAGUGGGGAAUCUUGCACAAUGGAGGAAACUCUGAUGCAGCGAUGCCGCGUGAGUGAAGAAGGCCUUUGGGUUGUAAAGCUCUUUCGUCGGGGAAGAAAAUGACUGUACCCGAAUAAGAAGGUCCGGCUAACUUCGUGCCAGCAGCCGCGGUAAUACGAAGGGACCUAGCGUAGUUCGGAAUUACUGGGCUUAAAGAGUUCGUAGGUGGUUGAAAAAGUUGGUGGUGAAAUCCCAGAGCUUAACUCUGGAACUGCCAUCAAAACUUUUCAGCUAGAGUAUGAUAGAGGAAAGCAGAAUUUCUAGUGUAGAGGUGAAAUUCGUAGAUAUUAGAAAGAAUACCAAUUGCGAAGGCAGCUUUCUGGAUCAUUACUGACACUGAGGAACGAAAGCAUGGGUAGCGAAGAGGAUUAGAUACCCUCGUAGUCCAUGCCGUAAACGAUGUGUGUUAGACGUUGGAAAUUUAUUUUCAGUGUCGCAGGGAAACCGAUAAACACACCGCCUGGGGAGUACGACCGCAAGGUUAAAACUCAAAUGAAUUGACGGGGACCCGCACAAGUAGUGGAGCAUGUGGUUUAAUUCGAAGAUACGCGCAGAACCUUACCAACACUUGACAUGUUCGUCGCGACUCUAAGAGAUUAGAGUUUUCGGUUCGGCCGGACGAAACACAGGUGCUGCAUGGCUGUCGUCAGCUCGUGUCGUGAGAUGUUGGGUUAAGUCCCGCAACGAGCGCAACCCUCACUUUUAGUUGCCAUCAUUAAGUUGGGCACUCUGAAAGAACUGCCAGUGAUAAGCUGGAGGAAGGUGGGGAUGACGUCAAGUCCUCAUGGCCCUUACGUGUUGGGCUACACACGUGCUACAAUGGCAUCUACAACAGGAAGCAAAACGGCAACGUUAAGCAAAUCCCGAAAAGAUGCCUCAGUUCGGAUUGCACUCUGCAACUCGAGUGCAUGAAGCUGGAAUUACUAGUAAUCGUGGAUCAGCGUGCCACGGUGAAUGCGUUCCCGGGUCUUGUACACACCGCCCGUCACACCAUGGGAGUUGGUUCUACCUUAAGGCAAGGUUUUAAACCCUUGACCACGGUAUAGUCAGCGACUGGGGUGAAGUCGUAACAAGGUAGCCGUAGGGGAACCUGCGGCUG
rnacentral:rRNA from 1 species